AAGAAAGUAAAGAAGGGCGUAUGGGGAAUGCCUUGGCUCUCAGAGGCGAAGAAGGACGUGAUAAGCUGCGAUAAGCCGCGGGGAUUGGCAAAUACGAAUUAAUCCGUGGAUUUCCGAAUGGGACAACCCACUCCGUUGAAGACGGAGUAUUCCGAACUAGUUUCGGGAGGCAAACCCGGUGAACUGAAACAUCUAAGUAACCGGAGGAAGAGAAAACAAGAGUGAUUCCGCAAGUAGUGGCGAGCGAACGCGGAACAGCCCAAACCACUGCAGUUAAGGCUACAGUGGGGUUGAAGGACCGACAUAAUUGACAGAAUGCGAAUUGGAAGAUUUCUGGAAAGGAACACCAUAGGGGGUGAUAGUCCCGUACAAGCAAACAGACUGUUGAGGUUGGUAUCCUGAGUAGGGCGGGGCCGGUGAAACCCCGUUUGAAACUGCCAGCACCAUCUGGUAAGGCUAAAUACUCCUGAGAGACCGAUAGAGAACAAGUACCGUGAGGGAAAGGUGAAAAGAACCCUGAAUAAGGGGGUGAAAUAGUACCUGAAACCAUACGCCUACAAGCGGUCGGAGCCGAUUAGUUCGGUGACGGCGUGCCUUUUGCAUAAUGAGCCUACGAGUUGCACUUCAUUGGCAAGGUUAAGCCCUUCGAGGGGCGUUAUCCGCAGCGAAAGCGAGUCUGAAUAGGGCGUAUAGUCAGUGGAGGCAGACGCGAAACCCGGUGAUCUACCCAUGACCAGGUUGAAGUCUCGGUAACACGAGAUGGAGGACCGAACCAGUUGACGUUGAAAAGUCUUUGGAUGAGUUGUGGGUAGGGGUGAAAGGCCAAUCAAACCGGGAAAUAGCUCGUACUCCCCGAAAUGCUUUUAGGAGCAGCGUUGGAGUUGAGUCUUGCGGAGGUAGAGCUACCAAUAGGACUAGGGGGAGUCAAAUCCUACCAAAUCCUGAUGAACUCCGAAUGCCGCAAGAUAUAUCCAGCAGUGAGGGUUUGGGUGCUAAGGUCCAAAUCCGAGAGGGAAAGAACCCAGACCGUCAGCUAAGGUCCCAAAAUCUAUGCUAAGUUGAGCUAAGGUAGUCCAGUUGCCGUGACAGCAAGGAUGUUGGCUUGGAAGCAGCCAUUCAUUUAAAGAGUGCGUAACAGCUCACUUGUCGAGCGACAGGGCAUCGAUGAUAAUCGGGCAUCAAGCAUAGUACCGAAGCUACGGAAUGUAAUUUAUUACAUUGGUAGGGGAGCAUUCCAACGACGACGAAGUUGAAUCGCGAGAUUUGGUGGAGUUUUUGGAAAAGCAAAUGUAGGCAUAAGUAACGAUAAUGCAGGUGAGAAACCUGCACGCCAAUAGACUAAGGUUUCCUGAUCAACGCUAAUCGGAUCAGGGUUAGUCGGGGCCUAAGGCGCACCCGAAAGGGGAAGUCGAUGGACAAUUGGUUAAUAUUCCAAUACUGCCAUUAUCAGUGAUGGGGCGACGGAGAAGUGAAAGACCCGCGUACUGACGGAAUAGUACGUUAAAGCCAGUAGGUAUAGGCUGUGUAGUUAAAUGCGCACGGUUUGCUGAAGGUGAUAGUACCACAAUGCUUCGGCAGCGUGGAUAGUGGUCCUAAACCUGCUUCCAAGAAAAACCUCUAAACAUAUGAUGAUGGCACCCGUACCGCAAACCGACACAGGUAGUCAAGAUGAGUAAUCUAAGGCGCUCGAGUGAUUCAUGGCUAAGGAACUAGGCAAAAUAGCCCUGUAACUUCGGGAGAAGGGGCUCCCGGCAUUAGCCGGGACGCAGUGAAAAGGCCCAGGCGACUGUUUAGCAAAAACACAUGGCUUUGCAAAAUCGAAAGAUGAAGUAUAAGGCCUGACACCUGCCCGGUGCUGGAAGGUUAAGGGGGGAUGUUAGUCAGCAAUGGCGAAGCAUUGAACUGAAGCCCCAGUAAACGGCGGCCGUAACUAUAACGGUCCUAAGGUAGCGAAAUUCCUUGUCGGGUAAGUUCCGACCUGCACGAAUGGUGUAACGAUCUGGGCACUGUCUCGGCCAUGAGCUCGGUGAAAUUGUAGUCGCGGUGAAGAUGCCGCGUACCCGCAACGGGACGGAAAGACCCCGUGAACCUUUACUGCAGCUUCACAUUGACAUUGGGUAAGGGAUGUGUAGGAUAGGUCGGAGGCUAUGAAUCGGUGUCGCCAGGCAUCGUGGAGCCGUCCUUGAAAUACGACCCUUUCCUUAUCUGAUGCCUAAUCCGGAAACGGAGACAGUGUGUGGCGGGUAGUUUGACUGGGGUGGUCGCCUCCAAAACAGUAACGGAGGCUUUCAAAGGUACCCUCAGCACGAUUGGUAACCGUGCGCAGAGUGCAAUAGCAAAAGGGUGCUUGACUGUGAGGCCUACAAGCCGAUCAGGUACGAAAGUAGGAUAUAGUGAUCCGGUGGUUCCGCAUGGAAGGGCCAUCGCUCAAAGGAUAAAAGGUACUCCGGGGAUAACAGGCUGAUCGCUCCCAAGAGCUCAUAUCGACGGAGCGGUUUGGCACCUCGAUGUCGGCUCGUCACAUCCUGGGGCUGGAGAAGGUCCCAAGGGUUCGGCUGUUCGCCGAUUAAAGUGGCACGCGAGCUGGGUUCAGAACGUCGUGAGACAGUUCGGUCCCUAUCUGUUGUGGGCGCAGGAAAUUUGAGAGGGCCUGACCUUAGUACGAGAGGACCGGGUCGGACGAACCUCUGGUGUACCAGUUGUACCGCCAGGUGCAUAGCUGGGUAGCUACGUUCGGUUUAGAUAAGCGCUGAAAGCAUCUAAGCGCGAAGCUAGCCUCAAGAUUAGAUUUCCCUUGAGGGUCGUUGGAGACUACGACGUUGAUAGGCUGUAGGUAUAAAGGCAGUAAUGUCUGAGCCGAGCAGUACUAAUAACCCGAUAGGCUUUCUUUA
rnacentral:rRNA from 1 species